rnacentral:rRNA from 1 species
GAUGAACGCUAGCGGCAGGCUUAACACAUGCAAGUCGAGGGGCAGCGCGAUGUAGCAAUACAUUGGCGGCGACCGGCGCACGGGUGCGUAACACGUAUGGAACUUACCCUUUACUGGGAGAUAGCCCGGAGAAAUCCGGAUUAAUAUCCCAUAAUAAACGAAGUGGCAUCACUUUGUUUUGAAAGCUCCGGCGGUAAAGGAUGGCCAUGCGCACGAUUAGCUAGUAGGUGAGGUAACGGCUCACCUAGGCUACGAUCGUUAGGGGGUCUGAGAGGGUUAUCCCCCACACUGGUACUGAGACACGGACCAGACUCCUACGGGAGGCAGCAGUGAGGAAUAUUGCGCAAUGGAGGCAACUCUGACGCAGCCAUGCCGCGUGCAGGAAGAAGGCGCUACGCGUUGUAAACUGCUUUUAACCGGGAAGAAACCCUCCGACGUGUCGGAGGUUGACGGUACCGGAGGAAUAAGCACCGGCUAACUUCGUGCCAGCAGCCGCGGUAAAGUAGACGU